rnacentral:rRNA from 1 species
CUGGCGGCGUGCUUAACACAUAGCAAGUCGAACGCGAAAGGGACUUCGGUCCUGAGUAAAGUGGCGGCACGGGUGAGUAACGCGUAGAUAACCUGUCUUCAUGUCUGGAAUAAUACGCCGAAAGGGGUACUAAUACCGGACUAUUCUUGCUUUUCAUAAGUUAUGCAAGCAAAGGUGGCCUCUGCAUAUGCUACUGCAUGAAGAGGGGUCUGCGUACCAUUAGCUAGUAGGUGGGGUAAUGGCCUACCUAGGCGACGAUGGUUAGCGGGUCUGAGAGGAUGAUCCGCCACACUGGCACCUGGAACACGGGCCAGACUCCUACGGGAGGCAGCAGUGAGGAAUAUUGCGCAAUGGGGGAAACCCUGACGCAGCGACGCCGCGUGAGUGAGGAAGGCCUUCGGGUCGUAAAGCUCUGUCAAGAGGAAAGAAGUGUACAAUGGCUAAUACCUGUUGUAUUUGACGGUACCUCUAAAGGAAGCACCGGCUAACUCCGUGCCAGCCGCCGC